UACGGAGGGUGCAAACGUUGCUCGGAAUCAUUGGGCGUAAAGCGCACGUAGGCGGCCUGUUAAGUCGGGUGUGAAAGCCCUGGGCUCAACCCAGGAAGUGCACUCGAAACUGGCGGGCUUGAGUACGAAAGAGGGUCGCGGAAUUCCCGGUGUAGAGGUGAAAUUCGUAGAUAUCGGGAGGAACACCGGUGGCGAAGGCGGCGACCUGGGUCGAUACUGACGCUGAGGUGCGAAAGCGUGGGGAGCAAACAGG
rnacentral:rRNA from 1 species